UACGUAGGGGGCAAGCGUUGUCCGGAAUCAUUGGGCGUAAAGAGCGUGUAGGCGGCCCGAUAAGUCCGCUGUGAAAGUCCAGGGCUCAACCCUGGGAUGCCGGUAGAUACUGUCGGGCUCGAGUCCGGAAGAGGAGUGUGGAAUUCCUGGUGUAGCGGUGAAAUGCGUAGAUAUCUGGAGGAACACCGGUGGCGAAGGCGGCAUCCUGGACUGCAACUGACACUGAGAGACGAAAGCCAGGGGAGCAAACGGG
rnacentral:rRNA from 1 species